UACGUAGGGGGCAAGCGUUGUCCGGAUUUAUUGGGCGUAAAGAGCGUGUAGGCGGCUAGGUAGGUCCGUUGUGAAAACUCGAGGCUCAACCUCGAGACGUCGAUGGAAACCAUCUGGCUAGAGUCCGGAAGAGGAGAGUGGAAUUCCUGGUGUAGCGGUGAAAUGCGCAGAUAUCAGGAGGAACACCGGUGGCGAAGGCGGUUCUCUGGGCCUGUACUGACGCUGAGGAGCGAAAGCGUGGGGAGCGAACAGG
rnacentral:rRNA from 1 species